AAAGUGUAAUACUCAAUUUAUAUAUAAUGGCAAUCUAUAUAUUAACUAUGUAAUUUAAGUAUAAAUAUUAUUAUUAUGAUUAUAAAUAUGAGAACCUUGUUUUAGUAGAAAUUGUAUUGAUAUUUGAAAUUUAAGCUAUUAGUAAGCUAUAUUUGAAAAGAAAAAAAAAAGUUUGUUUGGUGAUAUUUUUGUGAUUUUAAUUGAAUAGUUGACUUUGAUAUAUAGUCUUUUCGGUUGGAGUUAAAAUAAUAGAUAAAUAAAGGAUUUAAAAUGAUAUAUAUGUAUUUAUAUUUUACUUUUGAUGAGGAAUAGUGACUAAGUUGGUUUAGCCGAGAUAUAUGAGGGAGGUUAUGAGAUUUUUUUUUUAAAAUUCGAAUUGGGUGAUGCCAAUUAGAUGCAACUAAGGAUAGAUAUAUAUAUAAGAUCAUAGUUAUAGUAGUCAUAUAAUAUACAGAAAUUGUUAUAUUUAUGUGAUAUUGGAGUGAGAGAGAAAUUGAUCAGAGUAGGAAGGUGAAUGUGGUCUGGUCUCUUUGUAAAUCGUAGUGCAUCUUACGUAAAAGUUUCUACUGAGGUUUGACUAGGGUGUGGCUACAAAGGCUGCUAUCAUAUAUUGGAUCUGAAAAUAAAAAUUAGUGCAAACUCUUCCACCCUUCACUAUUAAGGGCCUAGAAGGUAUCGUAGGAGUUAAUUACAGCGGCGUUGAGAUAAGUAAGCCUGUAAGCUUUCGGUGACAAGUUGAGUCUAGGCAGCAUGGAGUGUAUCUCGUGUGAUCAUGUAACUGCGUGUGGUCUUGGCCAUCUUCCGCUGAAAGUUUUUUUUUUUAAUUUAUUAAACUUAUCGAGGAUGUUGUCGUUUAAAUUUUCUAUUACUUUUCCGUAAGUGGUAAUACUUUAUUUUCAACUGGGUACCCAUGUUUUGAUAAGUGUUAUUUUUUUUAAUAAAGGCAACAUUAGUA